GGCUACUACGGGGGGCAGCAGUAGGGAAUCUUCCACAAUGGGCGAAACCCUGAUGCAGCAACGCCGCGUGGGUGAAGGAGCGUUUCGGCGCGUAAAGCCCUGUCAGCGGGGAAGAAGAAAGACGGUACCCGACCAAGAAGCCCCGGCUAACUACGUGCCAGCAGCCGCGGUAAUACGUAGGGGGCGAGCGUUAUCCGGAAUUACUGGGUGUAAAGGGAGCGUAGACGGCGAGGUAAGCCUGAAGUGGAAGCCCGCGGCCCAACCGCGGAACGGCUUUGGGAACUGUUUUGCUGGAGUAUGGGAGG
rnacentral:rRNA from 1 species